GCUGGGUGUGGUGGCCCAUGCCUGUAAUCCCAGCGGCUCAGGAGGCUGAGGUAGGAGGACUGUGAGUUCAGAGCCAGCCUCAGCAAUUUAGCAAGGCCCUAAACAACUCAGUGAGACCCUGUCUUUA
rnacentral:sRNA from 1 species